ensembl:lncRNA
GUUGCCAUUCCCCUUUGAAGUCAUACUUGGAGGUGUUAGGUAGAUAGAAUAGAGAAAAGAAGUCCAAAAUGGCGGUGGCUAAAAGACAAGGAAGGUCUGAGGACCACAGUGAAGACUUCAGGCAGAACAAACAGAACAAACAGCACUCCUGGCUAAGCCCAAUUUGCAUAGGGCAGGCCCAGGUGGAGGAAAAAAAACAUAAAAGGAGGAGCCAAAGCACUUUCUCAUGGACUCUCUCUCCCGUGUGCGUGCGCUCCUUUCUCUCUCUCUCUCUCUCUCUCUCUCUCACUCUCACUCUCCUGCUAUCUUCUAAAUAAAAAUGGAGCUGUAACACUGAUUUGCCUAAGAGCUGUAGCACGGUUUGUCCAAGACCCAAGACCUGUGAUGCGCCGAGGGCUUUAAUGUCCGUCACUCCAAAUCUUUGUUGUGAUGAGACAAAGAACCGAGGAACAUACACUCGCAUGACAGAGACAACAGCCAAUCCCAUCAUGAGAUCAGCAGUGAGAUGACCCCACAAACUGGAUGGAAUAGAGGGAACCCCCACCACCCCACCCCUCCCAGUGGCUGCAGGAAAUCUCCAAGAACUAAAGACUGGCUGACCCUAGAAUAGAAAAGUAAUAAACAUCCCUAUGGAGACUUUCCCCUGGGAGAGGAGGUUCUUCUCUCAUCUUAUUUUAUUGUUUCAUCCUCUGUGAACGUGUUUGUGUAUUGGCCAUUGCAAUGUGAUUCAUUUUUAAUGUGGACUGAACUUCAGUUUGCUCUGAUGUAGAUCCCUGGAAAAUGCUAAAGUCGGGAAUGUUACCUCCUCCUGACAUUGCCUGUGCACUCCUUUGUUUCACUAAUCACCAG